rnacentral:tRNA from 1 species
CCUUCGAUAGCUCAGCUGGUAGAGCGGAGGACUGUAGAUCAGGUGUAGGAAGUAAUCCUUAGGUCGCUGGUUCAAUUCCGGCUCGAAGGA